CACUGCCGAGAAAAGCCUCUAGAUAGAAAAUAGGUGCCCGUACCGCAAACCGACACAGGUAGUCAAGAUGAGAAUUCUAAGGUGAGCGAGCGAACUCUCGUUAAGGAACUCGGCAAAAUGACCCCGUAACUUCGGGAGAAGGGGUGCUCUUUAGGGUUAACGCCCAGAAGAGCCGCAGUGAAUAGGCCCAAGCGACUGUUUAUCAAAAACACAGGUCUCUGCUAAACCGUAAGGUGAUGUAUAGGGGCUGACGCCUGCCCGGUGCUGGAAGGUUAAGAGGAGUGGUUAGCUUCUGCGAAGCUACGAAUCGAAGCCCCAGUAAACGGCGGCCGUAACUAUAACGGUCCUAAGGUAGCGAAAUUCCUUGUCGGGUAAGUUCCGACCCGCACGAAAGGCGUAACGAUUUGGGCACUGUCUCAACGAGAGACUCGGUGAAAUCAUAGUACCUGUGAAGAUGCAGGUUACCCGCGACAGGACGGAAAGACCCCGUGGAGCUUUACUGUAGCCUGAUAUUGAAAUUCGGCACAGCUUGUACAGGAUAGGUAGGAGCCUUUGAAACGUGAGCGCUAGCUUACGUGGAGGCGCUGGUGGGAUACUACCCUAGCUGUGUUGGCUUUCUAACCCGCACCACUUAUCGUGGUGGGAGACAGUGUCAGGCGGGCAGUUUGACUGGGGCGGUCGCCUCCUAAAAGGUAACGGAGGCGCUCAAAGGUUCCCUCAGAAUGGUUGGAAAUCAUUCAUAGAGUGUAAAGGCAUAAGGGAGCUUGACUGCGAGACCUACAAGUCGAGCAGGGUCGAAAGACGGACUUAGUGAUCCGGUGGUUCCGCAUGGAAGGGCCAUCGCUCAACGGAUAAAAGCUACCCCGGGGAUAACAGGCUUAUCUCCCCCAAGAGUUCACAUCGACGGGGAGGUUUGGCACCUCGAUGUCGGCUCAUCGCAUCCUGGGGCUGUAGUCGGUCCCAAGGGUUGGGCUGUUCGCCCAUUAAAGCGGUACGCGAGCUGGGUUCAGAACGUCGUGAGACAGUUCGGUCCCUAUCCGUCGUGGGCGUAGGAAAUUUGAGAGGAGCUGUCCUUAGUACGAGAGGACCGGGAUGGACAUACCUCUGGUGUACCAGUUGUCGUGCCAACGGCAUAGCUGGGUAGCUAUGUGUGGACGGGAUAAGUGCUGAAAGCAUCUAAGCAUGAAGCCCCCCUCAAGAUGAGAUUUCCCAACUUCGGUUAUAAGAUCCCUCAAAGAUGAUGAGGUUAAUAGGUUCGAGGUGGAAGCAUGGUGACAUGUGGAGCUGACGAAUACUAAUCGAUC
rnacentral:rRNA from 1 species